rnacentral:lncRNA from 1 species
GUAUGGAAGUCCAGGAAGACCCAUUCUACGUCCCUGGCACAAUGUAAGAGAAAGUCCAGGAAGACCCAUUCUACGUCCCUGGCACAUUGGAAUGUUAUGAUAUGUUAUGUAAGGGAAAGACCAGAGACCCAUUCUACGUCCUGGCACUAUUGGAUAUGUAGAGGGCUAUUGGUGACAAGUUCAUCCUUAAGGUGAUUUGUUUGU